GGAGGUGGCUGUAAGCUCAGUGGUAGAGUGUCUGCUUGCUGUGCAGAAAGGGUCCCAGAGUUCAAUCCUUGGCUGACAUCUCCA
rnacentral:tRNA from 1 species